UAUGGUUCAGAUCAAUCACACGGUCUCUGAAGGGUCCACGUGUCUGGCCGGUAGUAGGUAGUCUCCCGCUCCUUAUUCAGAACGCCAAUCGCAUGCACGAGUGGAUCGCCGAGAACCUCCGCUCAUGCGGCGGCACGUACCAGACCUGCAUUUGCCCAAUUCCGUUUUUAGCCCGGAAGCAGGGUCUCGUGACCGUCACGUGUGACCCGAAGAAUCUGGAGCAUAUUCUCAAGAUCCGGUUCGAUAAUUACCCCAAGGGUCCGACAUGGCAGGCAGUGUUCCAUGACCUGCUCGGUGAGGGGAUCUUCAAUUCUGAUGGCGAAACGUGGCGGUUCCAGCGUAAGACCGCCGCACUGGAAUUCACCACCCGGACUCUGCGCCAAGCCAUGGCUCGCUGGGUCACCCGCGCCAUUAAGCUGAGGUUUUGCC
rnacentral:lncRNA from 1 species